AAAUAUAUACACACACACAUAUACAUGUGGAUAUAUAUGUGCGUAUGUAUACAUACAUUUUUAUUUGAGUGGUUACAAUUCCAAAUGUGACAUGUAUUGUUGCAACCUUGGGAGUGAGCAGCUUUAAUCACCGCCGGCCCGGUUGCGGGAGUGAAAGAGCACGACCCAACAUACCUAGCUGUAGUUGGCAUUGGUGAUUGACAGAAAAAUGAAAUAGGUUGAUAUCUUUCACAUGGGAAUCACAGCUUGGAGCAAUUUAAAGCAACUGCUUUCUGCGAGAACUUGUGGGAAAAGUUAAUUGUGUUUUUAAAAUGCCUCCCUUUCCCAAAGAUUGUAAAAACACUAUUUAUUUAUACAUAUCAAGUGGCAGCUGUACGUUACAAUGAUUGAAGUCAUGUGAUGUGUUUUCCCCUAAAUAGAACCAGGCAUCAACAACAAAACCAGCAUGGAUUGACGAUUCCAUCCGACUGGUGUUAAAAGCCAGUUUGAUCGCAGUGCCCGGGAUACUUUCUCUGAAGCUGUUUCCAGAGCACGGCUGGGAAUCUGACUGCAUCCCAAGAUGAUCCCAAGCAAAAUAUCCUUCGGAAAGAGUCACGUACAGCUUUGGUGUUGCCUGUUUGAGUAGCUGGUCAAAUUACAUGGAGACACCCAAUGUAAUGAGCAAAAUCCAGCAGCGAUUCGGAACAGGAACCGCAUUACCAGCUUGCUCCCACCUACUGUCAGAUUAUCAGAGAUGAAUUACAAGCACAUGUGAGGUGGGAAGUGAGAACUGAACUUCAAGUCAACACCCUCAGGGGCAUACAACGCCGCAAUAAUCUUUGUUUUACCGACACAAUCUUGCAAUAUUAAUAAAAAUACCAGUGGCUGGCUAUACGUGGAGAUGGCCAUUUUCGUUUCUCUACUAGGUUACACUUGGCGUGCCCAAGGGCAGAUGUAAGCUCAUGUCUAUCUCAGUAAUUAUAGUGGGAAAUAGUAAAAUGAACUAAAGCAUGCCAACAUAAUCUAAAUCUUGCACUGCAAAUCUGUUUGAAGAUCCGAGAAUCUGGAUCAUUUUAUGCAAAUAUGUCCAUUGACAAGAAAAAUAGAACUAAUACGAUCAAACCACUUAUUAGAUACACAUGAAUAAAUGUCCAAGUUUUAAAUUGUAUUGCAUUUUUGUUCAUUGGAUUUAUUAUUUUUUAUUAAAUUCAUGCUUUACACUCAAUCCUCCACAGUGUUCUCAAUGUUGAGCUUGAUAACGAAUGAAAAAAAAUAAUCAUACUAUUAGUUUAGACAAUAAUUCAACACAUUAAAUUACAAAAUAUUACAUUAAAUAUAUUAAGAAAAUAAUCUGAUAAUUAAAAUUUAACCUUGGUCACUAUAAAACAUAAUCUGAAGAACGCUUGAGGAAGGUGUCGUGCCCCCAAAACGUCACCCGUCCUUUUUUCUCUGGAGAUGCUGCCUGACCCGCUGAGUUACUCCAGCACUUUGUGUCUAUCUUUGGUAUAAACCAGCAUCUGCAGUUAUUUGUCUCGACAUUUUAUAUGGCAGCGUGGUAGAGGUCAAGAAAUCAGAUGCCCCCCAGUCUGCCCACUCCACUCCAUACACACAUCUGGGUAUUUUACAGAGGCCAAGAAACCCGCACAUCUUAAGGAUACGGGCUGGUGGGAAGCCACACAGACGCAGGGGGAACGUGCAAACUCCACACAGACAGCGCCUGUGGUCAGGAUCGAACCCAGGUCUCCGGCACUGUGAGGCAGCGGCCUCUAUCGCUGUACCACUGUGUCGCCCUCCAUCAAGGAAAGUGAAUAGAGUUUUCACAUAUGUUUAGUGAUGACUUUUCAAAUUAUUAUCAGACAAAUUUACAGGUAGUAGCAAUAACAGGGCCACUGACUUAUGGUGACUUAAUAAUUCAAAUUCCAUUUUUAUUACUUGGAAUUCAGAGAGUGUUAGUGGCGUUUCGAGGACUGCGUUCUACAUGCCAUCCAGGUAUAAUUACACCUAUUGGUGCACAGAGGCUGGCCAAGUCAAAUUCCAUUUUUAUUACUGAGGAUUAUAGGUUUUGCUGGGAUUUUCAAUGCAGUUAUGGGAAUAGUAUACCGUGAUUUUGGAUUUUUUAUUCCUCAAAAGCAAAACGCAACACGUUGAUUAUGAGUGAUUCUGUUGGGUUCCAGCAAUGUUCAGGGGCAUUGCUAGAAGCCAGCAGGAAGUUGCAGCUAAUUAAUAGCUGCUGGAGCUCAUUAUCUCAACUUCCCCAACUCCACAAGCAGUCAUGUUGGUCUCAAUUUCUUUUGAGUGUAGAGAGACAGUGUGGAAACAGGCCCUUCAGCCCACCAAGUCCACGCCGACCAGUGAUCCCCAUACCAUUACUUUCAUCUUACACUCAAGGGACAAUUUGAGUUUGAGUCUAAUGUAUUGUCAUGUGUACCGAGGUAUGCCUACUAUUUUUCAGUGUGCUUAAGCAAAGCAAGAAUUUCAUUGUCCUAUACAGGGACACAUGACAAUAAACUCACUUGAACUUGAACAGUGAAAAACUUUUAGAAACAUAGAAAAUAUGUGCAGGAGGAGGCCAUUCGGCCCUUCGAGCCAGCACCGCCAUUCAUUGUGAUCAUGGCUGAUCGUCCCCAAUCAAUAACCCGUGUCUUCCUUCUCCCCAUAAACCUUGAUUCCACCAGCCCCUAGAGUUCUACCUAACUCUCUCUCUUACAUCCAUCCAGUGAUUUGGCCUCCACUGCCCUCUGUGGCAGGGAAUUCCACAAAUUCACAACUCUCUGGGUGAAAAAGUUUUUUCUCACCUCAGUCUUAAAUAGCCUACCCUUUAUUCUAAGACUGUGGCCCCUGGUUCUGGACUCGCCCAACAUUGGGAACAUUUUCCUGCAUCUAGC